UAGCGGAGGUGAAGGUUUCUCCCCACACCUCCUUCCUGCUGUUGCUUGGUGGCUCAUAUUCUUUCCCAGGAGAAGGAAAUGGUGUCUUGAGGACCUGCACCACCUCUUGGAGGAGAGACUUUCUGUUUUUCUUCCUCCUUGCUAAAGAAUGAUCCCAAAUCUAGAUGACACUGUUGUGUUUGCUGUGGAAUGAUAAGCUGAAAGCAACUUCCAGUGACAUUUUAGGUCAGCAAAGGCCAGACUGAUCAUUAGUAGCUCCAGAUACACAGCAAGAGAAGACAAAAAUAAAUAAAAAGCAGUGGGUGCAUGCCUACAUCUGUGGUCCUGGCCCCUCAGAGACUAAGCCUUUAAGAGCCUUGAAAUGCAGGAAGGCAUCCGGAAUUGGACAAUGAGGUUCAAGACAAAGCCAGAUUCAGUGGUGCUGGCCCUCACCGUGGAAGGAACGUGGGCAGAAUCCACCGUCAAUUAAUCAGGCCAGCAUCCACUCUGCCCCAGGUCUGAGCAAAGCUGGGAAUGAGUAACAAGCCACCCCAGCCGCUCUCUCUGUUCUGACUGAGUGAACCAGUAACCCCAGACUGAUACCCAGCCUCUGUCUCCUGGCACACGGAAGUCCACGAAGAAAAAGUAGACACAUUAAAAAUUAACAAGUGGAAUUUGAACUUGGAGGUUAAAAAAUGACUCGAAAAUAAGGUUCCAGAAGCCUCCUUGUAUCUUUGUCUACUGAUUCACUUAGAAGGGGAAGAAGACAGAAAAGCAGGGGUCAGGCGGGCCUCUUGCUUUCUUCCGAGCAUUUCCAUCUUCAUAGUUAUUGUAAGUUCUUACAUGUGUCAAGAGAUGUAUUAGUAGUUGGGUGUGGUUGUGUACUGGGUCCUGUAAGCCCAGCACUUAGGAGGCUGAGGCAGGAGGAUGGAGAGUUCAAGAGGCAGUCUGGACUAUAUAGAGUUUUGCAGGUCAAUCUGGGCUUAGCAAGACCAUGGAGAAAAGGAGAAGGAGAGAGACAGAAAGACAGACAGAGAUGGGCAGAGAGUAACGAUUUUGA